GACCUCAUAGCUCAGUUGGCUAGAGCGUUGGCUGUACUAAAGCCUUCCCCUUGCUGGCGUGGGUUCAAAUCCCACCGAGGUUG
rnacentral:tRNA from 1 species